rnacentral:rRNA from 1 species
UACAGAGGGGGCAAGCGUUGUUCGGAAUUACUGGGCGUAAAGGGCGCGUAGGCGGCCUGUUAAGUGUGAAGUGAAAUCUCCAGGGCUCAACCCGGAAACUGCUUCGCAUACUGGCGAGCUGGAGUGACGAAGAGGUUUGUGGAAUUCCUGGUGUAGCGGUGAAAUGCGUUGAUAUCAGGAGGAACACCGAUGGCGAAGGCAGCAAACUGGUCGUCAACUGACGCUGAGGCGCGAAAGCGUGGGUAGCAAACAGG